AUUGAACGCUGGCGGCAGGCCUAACACAUGCAAGUCGAACGAGUGGCGGACGGGUGAGUAAUGUCUGGGAAACUGCCUGAUGGAGGGGGAUAACUACUGGAAACGGUAGCUAAUACCGCAUACCAUCAGAUGUGCCCAGAUGGGAUUAGCUUGUUGGGGGGGUAACGGCUCACCAGGGUGACGAUCCCUCGCUGGUCUGAGAGGAUGACCAGCCACACUGGAAUGGGGCAAGGUGCCAGACCCCUACGGGAGGCAGCAGUGGGGAAUAUUGCACAAUGGGCGAAAGCCUGAUGCAGCCAUGCCGCGUGUAUGAAGAAGGCCUUCGGGUUGUAAAGUACUUUCAGCGGGGAGGCGUUACCCGCAGAAGAAGCACCGGCUAACUCCGUGCCAGCAGCCGCGGUAAUU
rnacentral:rRNA from 1 species